UACGUAGGGUGCAAGCGUUGUCCGGAAUUAUUGGGCGUAAAGAGCUCGUAGGCGGUCUGUCGCGUCGGCUGUGAAAACCCGUGGCUCAACCCCGGGCCUGCAGUCGAUACGGGCAGACUAGAGUGCGGUAGGGGAGACUGGAAUUCCUGGUGUAGCGGUGAAAUGCGCAGAUAUCAGGAGGAACACCGGUGGCGAAGGCGGGUCUCUGGGCCGUAACUGACGCUGAGGAGCGAAAGCGUGGGGAGCGAACAGG
rnacentral:rRNA from 1 species